AUUGAACGCUGGCGGCAGGCUUAACACAUGCAAGUCGAGCGGGGUGAUGGUGCUUGCACUAUCACUUAGCGGCGGACGGGUGAGUAUGCUUAGGAAUCUGCCUAUUAGUGGGGGACAACAUCUCGAAAGGGAUGCUAAUACCGCAUACGUCCUACGGGAGAAAGCAGGGGAUCACUUGUGACCUUGCGCUAAUAGAUGAGCCUGAGUCGGAUUAGCUAGUUGGUGGGGUAAAGGCCUACCAAGGCGACGAUCUGUAGCGGGUCUGAGAGGAUGAUCCGCCACACUGGGACUGAGACACGGCCCAGACUCCUACGGGAGGCAGCAGUGGGGAAUAUUGGACAAUGGGGGGAACCCUGAUCCAGCCAUGCCGCGUGUGUGAAGAAGGCCUUAUGGUUGUAAAGCACUUUAAGCGAGGAGGAGGCUCCUUUGGUUAAUACCCAAGAUGAGUGGACGUUACUCGCAGAAUAAGCACCGGCUAACUCUGUGCCAGCCGCCGCAGUAA
rnacentral:rRNA from 1 species